GUAAAUACAGUAGUUUUGCAUAUGUGAUAAAUAGCCUGCUGUUUAAUUCAUAUCGCGCAACUUUGAUGCGCACCCUUUAUCGCAUACCCUUUAUCACAUACCCUUUAUCACACCCCUACUUUUUUUUUUUUUUUUUUUUUAACAUGAAGUCAGUUUUUAUUUAUGUAAGCUUAAGAAAAUUUUUCCUCAAAAUAGGUCCAAUAAAACGGUCAUUCGGGAGUGACGUAAUUUAUUGAAUGAAGUCAUUGUUUGGUAUGUGACGUCAAGAACGUCCAGUUUUCAUAUUUUUUGGCACACCAAAUGCAACUAUAAAAAAUACAAAACACAAAAAAAUACAAUAAUAAACAAAAUAUUUUUAAAACAACAGCACACAAAUUGUAAGGUAACCUAGGUGCUUCGGAUAAGUAAUUGAAAAG
rnacentral:lncRNA from 1 species